rnacentral:rRNA from 1 species
GACGAACGCUGGCGGCGUGCCUAAUACAUGCAAGUCGAACGAACCGCGACUGAGUGCUUGCACUUGGUCAAGGUGAGUGGCGAACGGGUGAGUAACACGUGGGUAACCUACCUCAUAGUGGGGGAUAACAGUCGGAAACGACUGCUAAUACCGCAUAGGACAUAGGAUCACAUGAUCCAGUGAGGAAAGGUGGCGCAAGCUAUCGCUAAGAGAUGCACCCGCGGUGCAUUAGCUAGUUGGUAGGGUAAAGGCCUACCAAGGCGAUGAUGCAUAGCCGACCUGGGAGGGUGAUCGGCCACAUUGGGACUGAGACACGGCCCAAACUCCUACGGGAGGCAGCAGUAGGGAAUCUUCCGCAAUGGACGCAAGUCUGACGGAGCAACGCCGCGUGAGUGAAGAAGGUCUUCGGAUCGUAAAGCUCUGUUGUUAGAGAAGAACAGCGCAUAGAGUAACUGCUAUGCGUGUGACGGUAUCUAACCAGAAAGCCACGGCUAACUACGUG